AAUUCAUGUGAUGAAAUUGGAUUUUUCUCACGACGGUCGUCUGAGACACUCUUAAGUGUCGGCGCUGAUACAAUUAUCCAAUACUUCUGAUGAUU